UGCAGUCGCACGGUAUGGGGGCAACUCCAUGCAGUGGCGGACGGGUGAGUAACGCGUAGGAAUCUAUCCUUGGAUGGGGGACAACCGUGGGAAACUACGGCUAAUACCGCAUAAUGCCUGAGGGCCAAAGACGUAAGUCGUCUGGGGAGGAGCCUGCGUCUGAUUAGGUAGUUGGUGGGGUAAAGGCCUACCAAGCCUGCGAUCAGUAGCUGGUCUGAGAGGAUGAUCAGCCACAUUGGGACUGAGACACGGCCCAAACUCCUACGGGAGGCAGCAGUGGGGAAUAUUGGACAAUGGGGGCAACCCUGAUCCAGCAAUGCCGCGUGGGUGAAGAAGGUUUUCGGAUUGUAAAGCCCUUUUGGCGGGGACGAUGAUGACGGUACCCGCAGAAUAAGCUCCGGCUAACUUCGUGCCAGCAGCCGCGGUAAUACGAAGGGGGCUAGCGUUGCUCGGAAUGACUGGGCGUAAAGGGCGCGUAGGCGGCUUACAUAGUUAGGCGUGAAAUUCCUGGGCUCAACCUGGGGACUGCGUCUAAUACAUGUAGGCUUGAGUGUGAAAGAGGGUCGUGGAAUUUCCAGUGUAGAGGUGAAAUUCGUAGAUAUUGGAAAGAACACCGGUGGCGAAGGCGGCGACCUGCUUCAUUACUGACGCUGAGGCGCGAAAGCGUGGGGAGCAAACAGGAUUAGAUACCCUGGUAGUCCACGCUGUAAACGAUGUGUGCUGGAUGUUGGGGUGCUUAGCACUUCAGUGUCGUAGCUAACGCGGUAAGCACACCGCCUGGGGGAGUACGUCGCAUGAUGAAACUCGAAGAUGACGGGGCCCGCACAAGCGUGAGCAUGUGUUAGUCGAGCACGCGCAAAUCUACAUGAUUGACUGAAGAACUG
rnacentral:rRNA from 1 species